rfam:Triticum aestivum genome assembly, contig: Triticum_aestivum_CS42_TGACv1_scaffold_000886_1AL
AUAAUACUUCCUCCCUCCCGAAAUACUUGUCGGAGAAAUGGAUGUAUCUAGACGUAUUUUAGUUCUAGAUACAUCUAUUUUUAUACAAUUCUCCGACAAGUAUUUCCAGAGGGAGGGAGUACUUC